rnacentral:rRNA from 1 species
CAAUGGCAGAAAGCCUGAUCCAGACCAUACCAGCGUGUGUGAAGAAGGUCAUAGGAUUGUAAAGCACAAUAAGUUGGGACGAAGAGUAAUAGCUUAAUACGCAGCAACUUUGACGUUACCGACAGAAUAAGCACCGGCUAACUAU